UCGGGCUGCUAAUCCUGUAGUUCCAGUGUGAAAUGGAAGAAUCUUCUGCAAACGCUAUCCUCCAGCAUCAGAGGGAGCCCUCCACAUUCCCCGAGCCAGAUUUAGUCAACCACCCUACAGAGAAGGCAGUGGAUUUUGGUUUCUCAGUUGACAGCAGAAGGAAAGCAGAGGUCAAUAAGCAGGCAUGGAAAAGAAAAACAGCUGGAAGGGAAUCCACCCGUUCGAUUUUCAAUUUUCCAUGUGUCCACCUUUCCAGGGAAAAUAGCGGUACUGUAUUCUAGAGAGAUUACGACUAAGUAAUCCCUUUCCCAUUCACAUAAAAGCUUAGACAACUUUUUCCUAAUUUUGAUUUAGUAGUUCAAACUCACAGGGAGACAGAUGGCAUGCUUAGAAACUGUUUGGAAAAGUGGUAUAAACCGCGUUCUCAAAAAAUUCAAUUUUUUUUUGCUAAAAUUUAAUAUGAUUUGUAUAUUUUGAAUCGUUUUAAUAUGCUAAUAUCAAAAAUAAUUUUUUAAAAAUAAAAAAAAUAAUUGACAUGCAUUUCAGCAUGAAAAAUUAUUUGAAAAACAACCACUACCACACUGCCAAACUACCACACUGCCAAACAUACAAACAUACAGUUAGUUCAGUGAAACCCAAUUAAUAUAUAUAUAUAUAUAUAUAUAUAUAUAUAUAUAUAUAUAUAUAUAUAUAUAUAUAUAUAUAGAACAAUUUAUGAAACUACAAUCAUACGAGGGUGAUUAUACAGAUCUGUGAACCAUUACAAUAUCAAAUAUAAAUAGGUUCCUCUCUCGCGUAAAGAUAAUUUUUCCUUCACUCAGUGAACAAAGAUACCGGUUGAAGCUAUUCAAUAGAUUACUCUCCGGAGAUUGCUAUUUAAGGAUGUGAACUCCUCUGGAAAACACACUGGGUACACUCCUCUGGAUCAAUUCUGUAGCACUGGCUGCUGCCACCAUCAACAAAAGCUAGGCAGUAUCCAGAUUGAUUGGAUUGCAAUUGAUCCUGACAAUCCCAAUUCCUAACUUGUUUCUUAAUUAGGAUUCCAAAGCAAUCUGCGUGACUGUGCGGGUGGGGCUAAACCUGGAAUAUCCCGAAUGUCCUUGUUGUUUGGGUUCACCAGCU
rnacentral:lncRNA from 1 species